AAAAAGGCGUUGAUGGGGAGUAGUAGAGGCGCUCCGUUGCCACAGAGAGUUGGGAGUAGGUGUGAGCCCAAUGACAAUGGUCCUUGAACUCGUCCUUGAGCUGUUAGGCUGAGAGAGGCAUCGGGGGAUAAGGGUGGCGUGUUAAGAAGACCUCUUUAGGCCUGGCCGGGGAGCGCUCGUUAAAGCGCAGCGAGGGGAUGCGUUGAGCAUCAAGAAGGGUGGCACCGCGGGCAGACAUUAUCCGUCCCUUGA
rnacentral:ncRNA from 1 species